rnacentral:rRNA from 1 species
GGCUCACCAAGCCAACGAUCUGUAGCUGGUCUGAGAGGACGACCAGCCACACUGGGACUGAGACACGGCCCAGACUCCUACGGGAGGCAGCAGUGGGGAAAUUUUGGACAAUGGGCGCAAGCCUGAUCCAGCAAUGCCGCGUGCAGGAAGAAGGCCUUCGGUUGUAAACUGCUUUGUUACGGAACGAAACGGUACUUGGUUAAGUACCUGGGCGUAAUGACGGUACCGUAAGAAUAAGACACCGGCUAACUAACGUGCCAGCAGCCGCGGUAAUACGUAGGUGCGAGCGUAAUCGGAAUUAACUGGCGUAAAGCGUGCGCAGGCGGUUUGUUAAGACAGGC